CGUAGGACAUUGAUCGUUGAACAAACGAACCUUUGGUAGCGGCUUCACCACCGGGGUGUCCUGAUCCAACAUCGAGGUCGUAAACCCCCCUGUCGAUAUGGACUCUUGAGGGGGAUGGCGCUGUUAUCCCUGGGGUAACUUGGUUCGGUUAUCAGUGUUACUGGGUCAACGGGUUUGUUUUGUUUGGCCUGUGGGCCAUGCAGUGGGUGUCAGCCAAGUUUCAUGGAGGUUCUUUUUUUCUCCGUAGUCGCCCCAACUUAAAAUUUAUACUAUUGGUCUAUGGUUUAUGCCUUUUGGCUAAUGGGGGUUUGAUUAGGUAGUGGUAUGUUUAAAGCUCCACAGGGUCUUCUCGUCUUGUGUUGAUAUUUCAGCUUUUGUACUGAGAGAUCAGUUUCAUUGAUUGGCUACAGGGGACAGUAAGACCCUCAAUUAACCGUUCAUACGGGUCUUUAUUUAGAAGACAAGUGAUUACGCUACCUUUGCACGGUUAUAAUACCGCGGCCGUUGAAU
rnacentral:rRNA from 1 species